AACGAACGCUGGCGGCAUGCCUAACACAUGCAAGUCGAACGAAGCCUUCGGGCUUAGUGGCGCACGGGUGCGUAACGCGUGGGAAUCUGCCCUUGGGUACGGAAUAACAGUGAGAAAUUACUGCUAAUACCGUAUGAUGUCUUCGGACCAAAGAUUUAUCGCCCAGGGAUGAGCCCGCGUAGGAUUAGCUAGUUGGUGAGGUAAAGGCUCACCAAGGCUACGAUCCUUAGCUGGUCUGAGAGGAUGAUCAGCCACACUGGGACUGAGACACGGCCCAGACUCCUACGGGAGGCAGCAGUGGGGAAUAUUGGACAAUGGGCGCAAGCCUGAUCCAGCAAUGCCGCGUGAGUGAUGAAGGCCUUAGGGUUGUAAAGCUCUUUUACCCGGGAUGAUAAUGACAGUACCGGGAGAAUAAGCUCCGGCUAACUCCGUG
rnacentral:rRNA from 1 species